CAUUAUCCACUUCUUUCUGAUCGCUUCAGAGCACAUGGAAAACCUGGAGUGGACUAGCUCAUUCUGCUGCCUGGGACUUUGAGAAUCACACGCGCGCGCUCUGUUGGUUUGUCCUUAUAACAACAAGGUCUAUUGUGAAAUAGUUCCUGGGUGCGCUUAUGGUCUGGUUUCCUGUUCUUGAACCCUGCCUGUCCCUAACCUCUGCUGAUUCUGCCUAUACUGACCUUAGCCUGUCACUUCCAGACAGCACCUGAGUGAAUAAACUGGAUCAAUCAUAUGCAACGUCUCUCCCUGAAGAUUCAAGGAAAAGCCUGGAACCGCCACCUCUCUAUUUAAUUGUUUCAGCUAUGCGGAAGAGGCAGAGAGAAAGACAAGCAGUGUUUUCAUCAGGGUUUCAAAUGGACUGGCAGGACACAUCCUGAAAAACCUGGUGGGCCUUCCAGGAUCUAUGGGUGCUUUCUCCUGGACUUCCACUCCUGCUGGUGACAGAACAGGUAUGCAGGAGGGGUGGUGCAGCAUCGGAGGACCUUUGUGUUUGGAGCCCCAGAGUUGGUGUGGGGGCCCCCUGAUGUGGCAGCCCUGGUGGGCCGUGGAUCCCCCAGUCCAAAGCUGGUUGGGAUUGGAAAAGAAGAAAAGUGUAGUAUUCUGCUUGGUGAGGUAAUGCUUUCAAUUUAUCUAUGCACUUCUCAGUGUGGCAAGUUUGGGGUUAAUAGAGUGCUCAUUGCCCAUUUUUGCCAUGGUCUUACUGGUAUGUUCGGGGUAAAUGGGGUGCUUAUAGGCCAUAUCUGCAUUGGUCUUUUGGCAAGUCUUGGAUUUAUGGAAUGUUUAAUUGAGUACCCAGAAGCUAAGAUGUGCACAAGUGGCGCGUGCAUCAAACCCAUAAGCAGCUCUGUGUAAGAGAAGAGGUACUUCCUCCCAAGUACCAUCACACCCUAACCUGCAAAAUGUUGCCAUUGUAGGACCCGCACCCUACCCAUAUUCAUCUUUGCACACCUCUGGUUCCAAGACAGGGAAUCUAUGCGAGCAGUGGAGGAGUGUACUUCCCCAUUCUGACCAGCAUCUAACCCGCAAUGGUUGCCACAUUUCAACCCGAACCUACCCAACCAGUGGUCAACCCCAUGAUCACCGCAUGUUUCGGAUCAACCUACACAUCACUAAUAACUAAUAUAUUUUGUUCAAUAUAUUUUAUGAGUGCUGCCUAUGUUUGAAAAGAGGUUUUUGUAUAAUAUGGAAAUGAGUCAACAUUUUUCCAUCACAAGGUGAAUGGUGCAGCAAAUCUGUGUUUUAUAUAUGUAAUACACAAGAGCAAUGAAUAUCCUGUAAAUUAUAUAUGGUGCUUUGUGAUGUCAUCAGUUCUUAGUGAUUUAAUUUCUGUCACAUCACUGAAACUAAUCUAUUAUGAUAAAUAAUGUACCCUUGUUGUAAAUUACGAGGAUAUUAGAAGUCACUUUGGAGUUCAAUGACCUGAAUACAAGCCCUUGAUCUUCAGCUCUUAUAUGGUGAUUAAACUCCUCUGUAACUUAUAUUUUAGGAUAUAGAUACUUUGCCGUCUUCUCAUUUUUAUUUAUUUUUUCACUUUGGCCACCAAAUUGUUGAUUUUUAAUGUUGCAAGCUGAAGCCCCCUGUGAGAAUUACAUGACUGAAUACAGGUUGGUACCCACAUUUACAUACACAGAUUACAUUUUUUUAAAAAAAGGGCUCAAAAUGAAGACAAUAUGUUUUGCACAGGAUUGGAAUAUAUACAUUGUUAUUUCAAGGAUACUGUUUUACAGCAGGUGGCUCUUUGUCUUUAUCCAUUACAUUUUUUACCACCAGAAUUGCCUCCAUUGAUAUCAUCAGAGAUCGGACAACAGGAAAAAGAUUACAAUUCAUCUUUUUUAGUGUUACAAAAUAUCAAGGUACAGAGGUUUCAACUAUUACAACUAUGAUGUUUCUCCACCAGUGAUGCCAUAGCAAAUGAUAACAAUAGAUAGGUUCUGAAUUUACUGCUUUAAUAUACUCCCCUGGUGAGAACACACUCGGUAUGUAACUUAUUGCCUUUUCAAGACUAUACUUUUAUUUCCCCUCUUUUAAAAUCGAAGAUGCUGUUUGACUGGUUUCAGAAAAGCCUGUUUAAUGCACUCGUUCUGUAAUACUUGUAAGAUUCUCUUGAUAUCUGGUGUGCAGUCAUGUAUUACAAAGGCUUGCCUGCCCUUAGGCUUUUGUGUGAGUAUAGAAAAGGGAUAAUGCAAAAAUUCUGACAAUUGGGCUUAUUGAUAAUUGCCACAAAAAAAAGCCACAAAAAUCAGUAGAAUCUGAACAGUCAAAACAUUAUAUAUUAAUGCACAUGCCCUUGUUUAUACUUGUUCUGUUUGCCAAUAUGCUGGUAGGGCCAGACUAGGGCAUAAGGUUCAGUGUACUCUGAUGGAAGGGAGCUCUACAUUGUACGCGGAAAUUACAAGGUAACUCUGGGUUCCUUUGCACAUGUUUUGGCACGUCUGGUACAAGUUUCUUUUAAUUGUGC